rnacentral:lncRNA from 12 species
AGCUACAGAUGGUCUACAGGAAUUGGCUAACCACAUCCAUGACUUCCUGGAACUGAAUAUUGAUGUAUCUGAUUGUUUCUUUCUCCAUUAGACCUGGUAGGUGUCUUUUAUUUAUUUAUUUUUCCCUAAUUAUAUUGCCAGUGCCUAACAGCGCAUGAAAAUAGCAGACAUUUUCUAAAUAUGUUGAGUACUGUUUAGUGUGUGGUAGAUUGAUUAGUUCGGGGCAUAGAAGUGUGAGUUGAUUCUGAAGGCAAGAUGGUGGUCUGGAGAGCAGAUUUAUGUGAAAUUUAAGCUGUUAGAGUGGGUGUGGUUACCAAGGAGAUGAUUUGCAGUGAGAACAGAGCAGAGUUGGGGACAGAAUCCUGACGAAGAUGAACACGUAAAGGAAAAAAGAGCCUUGCAAGUAUUCUAAGAAAGAAUGUCCAGAGAGUUGGAAGCAACACAAGCAAAUCUGUAGUGUCAAAAAAAGUAGAAAAUGGUAUUUCAGGAAGGAGCAGGAAUAUCAAAUAUCCUUUUAAGCAAUUUAACAGUAGCAGUAUAUUGCUAAGAGUAGGGGCAUCAGAAAGGGUCUUCACGAAAGCCAGUUAGUCAUCAGGAAGAGUGGAGUUUUUAAAAGAUGUAUCUAAUGAAUGCUGAUUCUUCGCAAAGAAAGGUAAGAUUAUAUACGUAGAGCACAGUGCUGAGGAGGGCAAAUUGGAUCCCAUAAUUAACUAAAUUGUGUAAUAUAAUUUUUAAAGACAUUUUUAUUCUUAGUACUAUGAAAUUUUACCUAAAAAGUUUGAAAAAUUCAACAUUCAUUCAUGUAACAGUCAAGAAAUACUUGUCUAUUUUCACUUUGACAUUACAUUAAGUUCUAGAAAAUUUAAGGAUGAAAUGGAUAAAGUUUUUAUUUCUAUCACAAAUAAGUAAGAGAAACAGAUAGUAAACAAAUAGUAAUACAGGUAACUAUUACAUUGCAGGUAUAAUCAAUGUCAUGAGGAAAAAAGUCAACUUCACCUAACUUAAAAUUAUGAACAUGCUGUCCAUUAUAUGUGACUAUAUGCUCUCCUCACACUGCAAGUUUUUAAAUUUCCCCAAUAAAUUCUGUGAUUCCAAACA